AUGAACGCUGGCGGCGUGCUUAACACAUGCAAGUCGAACGGAAAGGCCGAAGCUUGCUUCGGUACUCGAGUGGCGAACGGGUGAGUAACACGUGGGUGAUCUGCCCUGUACUUCGGGAUAAGCUUGGGAAACUGGGUCUAAUACCGGAUAUGACAAUCUCUUGGAUGGGGUUGUGGAAAGCUUUUGCGGUAUGGGAUGAGCUCGCGGCCUAUCAGCUUGUUGGUGGGGUAAUGGCCUACCAAGGCGUCGACGGGUAGCCGGCCUGAGAGGGUGUACGGCCACAUUGGGACUGAGAUACGGCCCAGACUCCUACGGGAGGCAACAGUGGGGAAUAUUGCACAAUGGGCGCAAGCCUGAUGCAGCGACGCCGCGUGGGGGAUGACGGCCUUCGGGUUGUAAACUCCUUUCGCAACCGACGAAGCUUUUGUGACGGUAGGUUGAGAAGAAGCACCGGCUAACUACGU
rnacentral:rRNA from 1 species